CUAACCACGCGAAGGUAGCAUAAUCACUUGUUCUUUAAAUGGGGACUAGUAUGAACGGCAUCACGAGGGCUAAACUGUCUCCCCCCUCCAAUCAGUGAAACUGAUCUCCUCGUGAAGAAGCGAGGAUAUACAAAUAAGACGAGAAGACCCCAUGGAACUUUAAAACUAGUACCACUGCUCCCACAAUACACCACACAAGCCAGGACAUUAUGGCUACUAGUCUUUCGGCUGGGGCGACCAUGGAGAAAAACAGAACCUCCAUAAUGAACGGAAAUUUUCCUAAUCCCAGAAUUACAAUUCCAAGAAUCAACAAAUUGACAUACAUUGACCCAAAUAUUGAUCAACGAACCAAGCUACCCUGGGGAUAACAGCGCAAUCCAUUUCAAGAGCCCCCAUCGACAAAUGGGCUUACGACCUCGAUGUUGGAUCAGGGUAUCCUGAUGGUGCAGCCGCUAUCAAGGGUUCGUCUGUUCGACGACUAAGACCCUUCGUGAUCU
rnacentral:rRNA from 1 species